rnacentral:rRNA from 1 species
GACCAGACUCCUACGGGAGGCAGCAGUGGGGAAUAUUGCACAAUGGGGGAAACCCUGAUGCAGCGACGCCGCGUGAGUGAAGAAGUAUUUCGGUAUGUAAAGCUCUAUCAGCAGGGAAGAAAAUGACGGUACCUGACUAAGAAGCCCCGGCUAACUACGUGCCAGCAGCCGCGGUAAUACGUAGGGGGCAAGCGUUAUCCGGAUUUACUGGGUGUAAAGGGAGCGUAGACGGCAUGGCAAGUCAGAUGUGAAAGCCCGGGGCUCAACCCCGGGACUGCAUUUGAAACUGUCAGGCUGGAGUGCAGGAGAGGUAAGUGGAAUUCCUAGUGUAGCGGUGAAAUGCGUAGAUAUUAGGAGGAACACCGGUGGCGAAGGCGGCUUACUGGACUGUAACUGACGUUGAGGCUCGAAAGCGUGGGGAGCAAACAGGAUUAGAUACCCCGGUA